rnacentral:rRNA from 1 species
UCUGGUGGUAAUAGCGGAGGGGAAACACCCGUUCCCAUCCCGAACACGGAAGUUAAGCCCUCCAGCGCCGAUGGUACUGGGUUUACCCGGGAGAGUAGGUCACUGCCAGGA